GACCUGCCCCAUGCACCGGAAUAGCUCCUGGAAACGGGUGGUAAUGCCGGAUGUUCCAGUUGAUCGCAUGGUCUUCUGGGAAAGCUUUCGCGGUAUGGGAUGGGGUCGCGUCCUAUCAGCUUGACGGCGGGGUAACGGCCCACCGUGGCUUCGACGGGUAGCCGGCCUGAGAGGGCGACCGGCCACAUUGGGACUGAGAUACGGCCCAGACUCCUACGGGAGGCAGCAGUGGGGAAUAUUGCACAAUGGGCGCAAGCCUGAUGCAGCGACGCCGCGUGAGGGAUGGAGGCCUUCGGGUUGUAAACCUCUUUUAUCGGGGAGCAAGCGUGAGUGAGUUUACCCGUUGAAUAAGCACCGGCUAACUACGUGCCAGCAGCCGCGGUAAUACGUAGGGUGCAAGCGUUAUCCGGAAUUAUUGGGCGUAAAGGGCUCGUAGGCGGUUCGUCGCGUCCGGUGUGAAAGUCCAUCGCUUAACGGUGGAUCCGCGCCGGGUACGGGCGGGCUUGAGUGCGGUAGGGGAGACUGGAAUUCC
rnacentral:rRNA from 1 species